AGUUGGUCUUGGCUGUACUUGGCCUCUGCCCAUGUGGAAUCAGGGGUUAAAUCCAUGGGCUCUUGUCCUGAUUUGGGAAAAGCUGCUUUUUUAAAUUGGGUCAUACUAGUGAUUGAUGUUGCUUUAAAAUAUCAAAUCAGACCAAGAAACACUUAUUUAGUAAGCAAGCUUCUGCACCUCCAAAAUCCUCAAGAGAAGAAGAAACUGAUAGCGAUCAAAGCCAAGCUUCCAGGACAAGAAUAAUUCUCACUCCAAUUCAAGAUAUUUCUGGGAGAGUAGCGUGUUCACAUGACAGUGGUUGUGCCCCAGAAUCUCCUUCCAUGCUGGUAACAACUGGGAGAUGAAGGUGUUGAAGGUGAUGAGAAGAAAGUCCCGACUAUGCGUGGACUGGAAGUCUGACUCUGCGAGUGUGAGGAGAUGCCAGAGCCCGGGCAGUGCUGCUGGAGCCCCAAGGAUGCAGGAGACCAGUGACCAGUGGAAGAAGGAAGGCAGGCCACAGCCAUGUCAGUGA
rnacentral:lncRNA from 12 species